rnacentral:rRNA from 1 species
AGAGUUUGAUCCUGGCUCAGGACGAACGCUGGCGGCGCGCCUAACACAUGCAAGUCGAACGAGCGAGAGAGAGCUUGCUUUCUCGAGCGAGUGGCGAACGGGUGAGUAACGCGUGAGGAACCUGCCUCAAAGAGGGGGACAACAGUUGGAAACGACUGCUAAUACCGCAUAAGCCCACGGCUCGGCAUCGAGCAGAGGGAAAAGGAGCAAUCCGCUUUGAGAUGGCCUCGCGUCCGAUUAGCUAGUUGGUGAGGUAACGGCCCACCAAGGCGACGAUCGGUAGCCGGACUGAGAGGUUGAACGGCCACAUUGGGACUGAGACACGGCCCAGACUCCUACGGGAGGCAGCAGUGGGGAAUAUUGCACAAUGGGGGAAACCCUGAUGCAGCGACGCCGCGUGGAGGAAGAAGGUCUUCGGAUUGUAAACUCCUGUUGUUGAGGAAGAUAAUGACGGUACUCAACAAGGAAGUGACGGCUAACUACGUGCCAGCAGCCGCGGUAAAACGUAGGUCACAAGCGUUGUCCGGAAUUACUGGGUGUAAAGGGAGCGCAGGCGGGAAGACAAGUUGGAAGUGAAAUCCAUGGGCUCAACCCAUGAACUGCUUUCAAAACUGUUUUUCUUGAGUAGUGCAGAGGUAGGCGGAAUUCCCGGUGUAGCGGUGGAAUGCGUAGAUAUCGGGAGGAACACCAGUGGCGAAGGCGGCCUACUGGGCACCAACUGACGCUGAGGCUCGAAAGUGUGGGUAGCAAACAGGAUUAGAUACCCUGGUAGUCCACACUGUAAACGAUGAUUACUAGGUGUUGGAGGAUUGACCCCUUCAGUGCCGCAGUUAACACAAUAAGUAAUCCACCUGGGGAGUACGACCGCAAGGUUGAAACUCAAAGGAAUUGACGGGGGCCCGCACAAGCAGUGGAGUAU